rnacentral:rRNA from 1 species
GUUCAAAUGAAAAAAGACUUAUGGUGGAUACCUGGGCACCCCGAGACGAGGAAGGGCGUAGUAAGCAACGAAAUGCUUCAGGGAGUUGAAAAUAAGGGUAGAUUCGGGGAUUCCCGAUAUUGGUCAACCUUUCAAACUGCUGCUGAAUCCACGGGCAGGCAAGAGACAACUUGGUGAAUUGAAACAUCUUAAUAGCCAGAGGAAAAGAAAGCAAAAGCAAUUCCUGUAGUAGCAGCGAGCGAAAUGGGAGCAGCCUAAACCGUGAAAAUGAGGUUGUGGGAGAGCUAUACAAGUGUUGUGCUACUAGGCGAAGCAGCAGAGAAUGCUGCACCCUAGAUGGCAAGAGUCUAGUAACCAAAAGCAUCACUAGCUUAUGCUUUGACCCGAGUAGCAUGGGGCACGUGGAAUCCCAUGUGAAUAUAUAAGGUCCACCUAAGUGGAGGUUCGAACCGACUGAUGUUGAAGAAUCAAGGAUGAGUUAUGGUCAUGGGUGAAAUGCCACUCGAACCUAGAGCUAGCUGGUUCUCCCCGAAAUGCGUUGAGGUGCAGUAGUUGACUGGACAUUUAGGGAUAAAGCACUAUUUCGGUGCAGGCCACGAGAGCGGUACCAAAUCGAGGCAAACUCUGAAUACUAGAUGUGUCCUCAAAAUAACAUGGAUCAGGGUCGGUCAGUGAGACAAUGGGGGAUAAGCUUCAUUGUCGAGAGGGAAACAGCCCAGAUCACCAGCUAAGGCCCCUAAAUGACCACUCAGUGAUAAAGGAGGUAGGGGUGCAGAGACAACCAAGAGGUUUGCCUAGAAGCAACCACCAUCGGUGCAGGCCGCAAGAGCGAUACCAAAUCGAGGCAAACUCUGAAUACUCAAUGUGACCUCAAAAUAACAUGGGUCAAGAUCGGCCAGUGAGACAAUGGGGGAUAAGCUUCAUUGUCGAGAGGGAAACAGCCCAGAUCACCAGCUAAGGCCCCUAAAUGACCGCUCAAUGAUAAAGGAGGUAGGGGUGCAUAGACAACCAAGAGGUUUGCCUAGAAGCAACCACCCUUGAAAGAGUGCGUAAUAGCUCACUGAUCGAGCGCUCUUGCACCGAAGAUGAACAAGGCUAAGCUAUAUGCCGAAGCUGUGGGAUGUAAAAAUGAAUCGGUAAAGGAGCAUUCCGCCCUAGAGGGAAGGACCCAUGCAUGCAGUAUUGGACAAAGCGGAAGCGAGAAUGUCAACUUGAGUAAUGCAAACAUUGGUGAGAAUCCAAUGCCUUGAAAACCCAAGAGUUCCUCCGUAAGGUUCGUCCACGGAGGGUGAGUAAGGGCCUAAGAUCAAGUAGAAGGGCGUAGUCAAUGGACAAUAGGUGAAUAUUCUUGUACUACCCUUUGCUGGUCCCGAGGGAUAGAGGAGGCUAGGUAUGGUUAUCGAUUCAAGGACGCAAGGUGCCUUGCUUUUUCAAGGUAAUAAGGGGUAGAGAAAAUGACUCAAGCCAAAGUUCGAGUACUAGGCAUUACAACACUGAAGUAAUCCAUGCCAUACUCCCAGGAAAAGCUCAAACAACCUUCAACAAAUGGGAGCUUGAUGAAAUCCUACCCCGCAAGGGCAUUGGAUAGAAGACUCCGAGAAGAUUGGGCCAGAGAUGCAAGAGAAGGCCCUAGGGUUCUCAUGAGGGUAGAUUUCGGGCCCAUAGGCUAAGUAUGAGCCCGCUUAUCUUUGUACAU